rnacentral:tRNA from 1 species
GCCGGGGUGGCCGAACGGUUCAGGCGGCGGGCUGCAGACCCGCAGUAUACGUCCUAUAAUGGGCUGAAACGGGUUCGAUUCCCGUCCCCGGCUCCA